GAUGAACGCUGGCGGCGUGCCUAAUACAUGCAAGUCGAGCGAACGGACGAGAAGCUUGCUUUUCUGAUGUUAGCGGCGGACGGGUGAGUAACACGUGGAUAACCUACCUAUAAGACUGGGAUAACUUCGGGAAACCGGAGCUAAUACCGGAUAAUAUUUUGAACCGCAUGGUUCAAAAGUGAAAGACGGUCUUGCUGUCACUUAUAGAUGGAUCCGCGCUGCAUUAGCUAGUUGGUAAGGUAACGGCUUACCAAGGCAACGAUGCAUAGCCGACCUGAGAGGGUGAACGGCCACACGGGAACUGAGACACGGUACAGACUCCGACGGGAAGCAGCAGUAGGGAAUCUUCCGCAAUGGGCGAAGGCCUGACGGAGCAACGCCGCGUGAGUGAUGAAGGUCUUCGGAUCGUAAAACUCUGUUAUUAGGGAAGAACAUAUGUGUAAGUAACUGUGCACAUCUUGACGGUACCUAAUCAGAAAGCCACGGCUAACUACGUG
rnacentral:rRNA from 1 species